rnacentral:rRNA from 1 species
GACGAAGGGGGCUAGCGUUGUUCGGAAUUACUGGGCGUAAAGCGCGUGUAGGCGGUUGCCCUAGUCAGGUGGGAAAGCCUUGAGCUCAACUCAAGAAAUGCACUUGAUACUGGGCGACUAGAGGACCGGAGAGGAUAGUGGAAUUCCCAGUGUAGUGGUGAAAUACGUAGAGAUUGGGAAGAACACCAGUGGCGAAGGCGGCUCACUGGCCCGUUACCGACGCUCAGGCGCGACAGCGUGGGGAGCAAACAGG